CAGCAGCCGCGGUAAUACGGAGGAUGCGAGCGUUAUCCGGAUUUAUUGGGUUUAAAGGGUGCGUAGGCUGGUACUUAAGUCAGUGGUGAAAUCCACCGGCUCAACUGGUGAACUGCCGUUGAUACUGGGUACCUAGAGUUUAGUUGACGCGGGCGGAAUGUGUCAUGUAGCGGUGAAAUGCAUAGAGAUGACACAGAACACCGAUAGCGAAGGCAGCCCUCGCGAAGCUAACACUGCACGCUGAUGCACGAAAGCGUGGGGAUCAAACAGGAUUAGAUACCCUGGUAGUCCCACGCUGUAAACGAUGAUCACUAGCUGUGGGCGAUACACUGUCCGUGGCCAAGCGAAAGCGAUAAGUGAUCCACCUGGGGAGUACGUC
rnacentral:rRNA from 1 species